rnacentral:rRNA from 1 species
UUGAACGCUGGCGGCAUGCCUUACACAUGCAAGUCGAACGGCAGCACGGGAGCAAUCCUGGUGGCGAGUGGCGAACGGGUGAGUAAUAUAUCGGAACGUGCCCAGUCGUGGGGGAUAACGCAGCGAAAGCUGUGCUAAUACCGCAUACGAUCUACGGAUGAAAGCAGGGGACCGCAAGGCCUUGCGCGGACGGAGCGGCCGAUGGCAGAUUAGGUAGUUGGUGGGAUAAAAGCUUACCAAGCCGACGAUCUGUAGCUGGUCUGAGAGGACGACCAGCCACACUGGGACUGAGACACGGCCCAGACUCCUACGGGAGGCAGCAGGGGGGAAUUUUGGACAAUGGGGGAAACCCUGAUCCAGCCAUGCCGCGUGCAGGAUGAAGGCCUUCGGGUUGUAAAGCUCUUUCAGACGGAAAGAAAUCGGGCGGGUGAAUAGCCUGCCUGGAUGACGGUACUGUCAGAAGAAGCACCGGCUAACUACGU